AGCAAGAAAAAGAGAGAAAUUUCUUUCAAUCGAAACACAUUUAACAGCAAUACAAACAAGAAGGAACUGAAAUUGUUUCAACCAAACCCAAAGGCUGCUUCGGUUCGUGGGGAGCCAACUGUCGCGGGAUGAUGAGCCAAAGGAGGAGAAGAGUGAAUGGGUGUAAGGCUGCGAGCAGAUUGAAAUUGGGGAAGAGAUGGGUUUUCUUAUUUUAAUUUUGGGCAAAAUCACGCAAAAGAUCCUCAUACCUUUAGCGUGUUUUGCAUUUAAGUCAUCAAGUCAUGGGUUAAUUAUCCAUAGGUCCUAAAAUGUUAAGCAUCUACUUAUAUUCUGAUCACUAAUUUAUAGGGUAAACCACCAUUUUAGUC